GCGUCGGUGGUAUAACGGUUAACGGUUAGCAUAGCUGCCUUCCAAGUAGUUGACCCGGGUUCGACUCCCGGCCGACGCA
rnacentral:tRNA from 1 species